AGAUGAUUCUAAAGCACAGCAAAGUUGAGACACUAAAUGCUGGGCGUGGGUACGAGCAAUGCUGCCAUCAUUUCAAUUGCGGGCUGGGCCAAAUCUUUGUGCUCAGCAAAGACCUUUUCACCAGGGGCGUGAAUAGAGAAAACCCAGUGGCUGGACUGAGGAGCAGUCAUGAGACGGAAGCCACGGCAGAUGGAAGCUGGACAUUGCUUUGAUCAGAUGCUCAAGUGACAGGGGACGAGAGCUACCACCUCCAACUUUCCACAAGCUCUUGCUUGCAGUGCCCAUGUCAGGGCUGAGAUGCUUGCUUAAGGGAAUGAAGCAAGCUCUAGACUACAUUUGAUGAGCUCCCGUGGGAUACACAUGAAGGCCAAGAAGAUGGACUACAGUUCUGGGCCUGGCACAGUGGCAGGAACGGUGCACAAGCUCACUCUGCUGAUGCUCAUGACAGGCUG
rnacentral:lncRNA from 7 species